UGGCAGCACAUCUCUGGGUCAGG
rnacentral:misc_RNA from 1 species